UAUUAUUAUUAUUAUUAUUAUUAGAUGCUGCUGGUUUUUGUCUUGACCCAGAUGACAACGUAGACCUGCAAUGAAAAAAAGGGGUGAGGUGGAUGGCCUUCUGGUGGGCCUCUCCGACGCUCAAGUCAGUGAUCUUAAUCCCUUCAGAGAGAGAGAUUAAGGAAUUCUUUUGUAACAGAGAAUAAUAUAGAUAGGAAGCGUACGUGCAUCCUUUCUUUUGGCUGGUAUUUAUAGGCUUUUUAAGAAAAUAGUCAUUGCUUUAUUUAGGACGAUGAUCUUGGUUAAAUAUUCAUGGAUCGCCGUGAUAUUAGCUUUUAUUGGAUUAUAUGCAGAAUCAUCGCUCGGUCCGUGGAAUCCGGGCUAUAUCUGAUAUUGCGAGUGUUUGCGCGGUAAGGGUUUUGUUCGACCUUUUUGGUCGAACAAAACUAUCGUUCGGUCCUUUCUUCUUGCUCGGCUCGUUAAGUCUGUUUGGGGUUUGCCACAUUGGAAGUAUUUGCUUAGACUAUCCAUACUAGAAAUAUUUUUUGAUUUUUUGACUUUAUUUUGAGAGGGUGGUAUCAUUAUUAUUAUUUUUACUAUUAUUAUUAUUAUUUUUGAAUAUGUCCAGAAAGCCAAAAAUUUAUGAAAUGCGUUCAACUUUUUAAGUUUUGAAAAAUUAAUAUGAUCAAAUGUGUUCAAUUUUAAGUGCUUAAUCAAGUUACCAAAACUCAUUGUGAAAAAUAAAAAUGUUUUCAAUAAUAAUAAAAAGCAUCAUAUUUCUACAUGUGCAACAUAUGGACAGGACACCAUUUUACCCCAAUAUUUUCUAUUUGAUGUCAUCAUAGAUUGUGUUGAUUGUGUGAAACCAUCGAUUGUUGUUCCUAUGUAACAACUCUUAAAUUGGGUUAAAGAAAUUGAUUUGAUUUCUGAUUUUUAAGGUGAAUGAACAACUCAUAUAGUUUACAAUGCAUUGGAUUUUUUAUGCUAGACAGUGACGUAUUUUGGUUAUACUAGUUGCAAUCAGUGUUGUCAAGGUGAAAGGCGAUAAGGUGCACUAUAACCUUAGGCGAGGCGAGGCGAGGCGAGGCGAGGCGAGGCGAGGCG
rnacentral:misc_RNA from 1 species